GCAUGGUGGGGGUUGGAAAGAUUUUUCGGUCUGGGAUGGGCUCGCGGCCUAUCAGCUUGUUGGUGAGGUAAUGGCUCACCAAGGCGUCGACGGGUAGCCGGCCUGAGAGGGUGACCGGCCACACUGGGACUGAGACACGGCCCAGACUCCUACGGGAGGCAGCAGUGGGGAAUAUUGCACAAUGGGCGGAAGCCUGAUGCAGCAACGCCGCGUGAGGGAUGACGGCCUUCGGGUUGUAAACCUCUUUUAGCAGGGAAGAAGCGAAAGUGACGGUACCUGCAGAAAAAGCGCCGGCUAACUACGUGCCAGCAGCCGCGGUAAUACGUAGGGCGCAAGCGUUAUCCGGAAUUAUUGGGCGUAAAGAGCUCGUAGGCGGUUUGUCGCGUCUGCUGUGAAAUCCCGAGGCUCAACCUCGGGUCUGCAGUGGGUACGGGCAGACUAGAGUGCGGUAGGGGAGAUUGGAAUUCCUGGUGUAGCGGUGGAAUGCGCAGAUAUCAGGAGGAACACCGAUGGCGAAGGCAGAUCUCUGGGCCGUAACUGACGCUGAGGAGCGAAAGGGUGGGGAGCAAACAGGCUUAGAUACCCUGGUAGUCCACCCCGUAAACGUUGGGAACUAGUUGUGGGGACCAUUCCACGGUUUCCGUGACGCAGCU
rnacentral:rRNA from 1 species